rnacentral:ribozyme from 15 species
GGGGGUCAGGCAGUGCAAGUUAAAAAAAACGGGAGAAAUCUCUUUUUUUUUUUUUUUUUUUUUUUGGGGCGUAUACAUGUAUAGGGAAAAAAAAA